rnacentral:rRNA from 1 species
UGGAUUGGUGCCUUCGGGAACUCUGACACAGGUGCUGCAUGGCUGUCGUCAGCUCGUGUCGUGAGAUGUUGGGUUAAGUCCCGUAACGAGCGCAACCCUUGUCCUUAGUUACCAGCACGUUAUGGUGGGCACUCUAAGGAAGACUGCCGGUGACAAACCGGAGGAAGGUGGGGAUGACGUCAACGUCAUCAUGGCCCUUACGGCCUGGGCUACACACGUGCUACAAUGGUCGGUACAAAGGGUUGCCAAGCCGCGAGGUGGAGACUAAUCCCAUAAAAACCGAUCGUAGUCCGGAUCGCAGUCUGCAACUCGACUGCGUGAAGUCGGAAUCGCUAGUAAUCGUGAAUCAGAAUGUCACGGUGAAUACGUUCCCGGGCCUU